rnacentral:lncRNA from 1 species
GUCAUGUGCCAGGAUUUUAGUUAGUACUUGACUGGCAAGUACUGGCUUGAAUUAAUAAAAGCAGCCUUGAAACAACUACAGGUUUGGUUUUUAGCUGCCGUUUUACUCAGCUGUUUUUUGUUUUGUUUUUGCAGUAUCUUUCAACCGAGUGUGUGUGGCAUAAAUUUGUUUAGAUACCACAAUCUUGAAUGGCAUUCCAAAGGCAAGAGUGAAAAUGCCUCAACCUGGUAAAUAAAGAAUAGCAUCCAGAAUUGGGCAUCAGGCUGUCAUCAGUGGAGCUGGACUUCAGCCAUGCCAGGGAUUCUAACGGUCCUCGAAGAAAUGCCUGCAGCACUUUGUUUUACGUACUGAGUCUCUCAUUUUCUUUUUCUUCCUCCCUUUACUCUCAGACUUUUCUACUCUAUUUGUACCCAACUACCAUCUGUUAUUCCUUUUCACACACUUUUCAAACCUUUCUUUCACUGCUGCCCAUUCUGAAUACCUCAUCAUUAGGAGGCAGGUAAUUCUGCAGAGAUUCCAGUGAGUGUAUUGUUUGACAGAAUACCAAUUUUCUACCUUCUAAAAUGGACCUCGUCAUCAUGAAUGAAGACGGUAUGUUUAAGUGGGGCCAUUUGUAUUCUGCAAGAGGUUUGCAGUUGGGACAUGUAGUCAGGUAGGCUUUUUUGUUUGUUUGUUUCCUAAUAUUUUUUUAUUGAAGUAUUAUCGAUUGACAGUAUUAACUUAGUUUCAAGUGCAGAGAAAAGUGAUUCAGUAUUUUUAUAGAUUAUACUUCAUUGUAGGUUAUUACAAGGUAAUGACUAUAAUUCCCUGUAACAUACAAUACACCCUUGCACUUACCUAUUUUUUACAUAGUCGUUUGUAGUUCUUAAUCCCAUACCUUUAAUUUGCCCCUCCUUCCUCCCCUCUCCCUAUUGUUAACCAGUAGUUUGUUUUCUAUAUCUGUGGGUCUGUUUCUGUUUUGCAUAUACAUUCAUUUGAAUCACCUUUUAGAUUCCAUAUAUAAGUUAUAUUAAACAGUAUAUUUCUUUUAUUUCAUUAAGCAUCAUAUUCUCAAGGUUUAUCCACUUUGCUGCAAAUGUCAGGAUUUCAUUAUUUUUUUUAUGGCUGAGUUAUAUAUGUAUAUAAAAUUCACGUCUUCCUUAUCCAUUUUUCUGUUGAUAGGCAUUUGGGUUGUUUCCAUAUCUUGGCUGUUGUAAAUAAUGCUGCUAUGAACAUUGUAGUGCAUGUAUUUUUUCAAUACAUGCCAGGAGUGGAAUUGCUGGAUGCAAAGCAGGUAGUUUUGCAUGAAGCUGAUGAGGUUUGAAGUCUCCCACUUUUCUAAGAGGAAGAGGGAAAAAAAGAGAGGAGGCUAACAUUUAUGGCCUACAUCCCACAUGUUAGGCAUUGGGCUAGAUAAUCUGUCAGCAUUAUGCUUCUUAAUCCUGUCAGUAAUAUUAAGUGGCGGUAUUAUUAUUAUUUCUGGUACAUAGGUGAUGUAACUGAGACUCAAAGGAGUUAAGGGCUAGUUCAAAGUUAUAAAGCUAGUAAAUGGUGAUGCCAAAAUAAAAAUCUGUAUUGUUCCAAAGCCAUUUCUCCCAAUGGCAAGGAGUUGAGAGGAAGUCUCAGAAGAGAAAUGAAAACACAGAGGUAUUGGGGAAUACACAUCUAUCUUUAUAGUGCCAAGCACAUAGUAGACACUCAGUAAAUAUUUAUCAUUGAAUGAAUGCAACAAUUGAUAAACUGUGUAAAGUAUUAUUUAUCCAGCUACUAUCUCUUUGGAAAGAAAACCAUGAAUAUACUGUGUGUUUGCUAAUCAUACUCUCAUAGAUUUGAAGGUAAUUUAAAAGUCACUCAAUACUAGAAACAACAAUACUCCUGACAGUAUGAUCUAGCCUCUCUUAGGUCUUCAAAAAGUGAGGUUCUUACUACUCCACCUGCCGGCCUCCCUCUGCUUUCUGAAAAGCACUAAUUGAAAGCAUAUCCCUAUAUUUCAAAUUCUAAUAUUAGCUUGCCUCAGUGAAAGCAUGCAUUUAUCUAAAUCUUUUUUACAUUUUAUUUUAUUGAAGUAUAGUUGAUUUACAAUGUUAUACUAGUUUCUGCUGUAUGGCAAAGUGAUUGUUACACAUACAUAUAUUCUUUUUCACAUUCAUUUCCACUAUGGUUUAUUACAAGAAUGUAAUUCCCUGUGCUAUAGAGUAGGAUCUUGUUGUUUAUCCAUCCUCUGUAUAAUAGUUUGCAUCUGCUAAUCCACCAAACUUCCAAUCCAUCCCUCCCCACCCCUGCUCUCCCUUAACCACAAGUAUCUUCUCUACCUAUGUAUGUUUCUGUUUCAUGGGUAAGUUCAUUUAUGUCAUAUUUUAGGUUCCAUAUAUAUGUGAUAUCAAAUGAGUACCAUUUGAUGUCUUUCUCUUUCUGACUUACUUCACUUCAUGUGAUGAUUUCUAGGUCCAUCCACGCUGAUGCAAAUGGCAUUAUUUCAUUCUCUUUUAUGACUGAGUAGUAUUCCAUUGUGUGUGUGUAUAUAUAUAUUUUUUCUUUAUCCAUUCAUCUGGGAACAUAGGGAUACACCUGCCUUUUCGAAUACAGUUUUGCCUAGAUAUUGGAUUGCUAGAUCAUAUGGCAACUCUAUUUUUAGCUUUUUGAAGAACCUCCAUACUGUUUUCUAUAGUGGCUGCACAAGUUUAGAUCAUUCCCACCAACAAUGUAGGAGGAGUUUUUCUUUUUUUUUUUUUCAGGGCUGCACCCAUAGCGUAUGGAGGUUCCCAGUAGGGUUGAAUCGGCGCUAUAGCCACUGACCUACAUCACAGCCACAGCAACGCCAGAUCUGAGCUGCAUGUGUGACAUAGACCACAGCUCAAUGGCAACACGGGAUCCUUAGCCCACUGAGCGAGGCCAGGGAUUGAACCUGUGUCCUCAUGGAUGCCAGUCAGAUUUGUUUCCACUGAACCCUGAUGGGAACUCUGAAGGGUUCCCUCUUCUCCACACCCUCUCUAGCAUUUGUUAUUUGUAGACUUUUCAAUAAUGGCCAUUCUGACUGGUAUGAGGUGGAAUCUCAUUGUAGUUUUGAUUUGCAUAUCUCUCAUAAUUAGCAAAAAUGAGCGUCUUUUCAUGUGCCUAUUGGCCAUCUGGAUGUCUUCUUUGGAGAAAUGUCUAGGUGUUCUGCCCAGUUUUUGAUUGGGUUUUUGGUUUUUUGUAACUGAGCUGUGUGAGCUAUUUUUAAUGUUUCUAAUGUAUUUCCCUUCUACCAACCAUCAGGACUUUCAGACAAGUGUUUUAAAAUUUCUAAAAAUAUUAAAAGAACCCAACUGAUACAAUUAUAGCAAUAUUAGGAUCAUUACUAUAUGACAAACUACUGUAAAAAAUCAAGACAACAUAUGACAGUGCAAACAUAAAAUAUAGCACAGCUAUGAUGCAUUUUGCAUCUAAUGAUCUUUUCUCAUAGAGACAAUAAAAAGUGGGUUCUUGAUAGAAUUAUGAGAAUUUUGGGGAGUUCCCGUUGUGGUGCAACAGAAACAAAUCCAACUAGGAACCAUGAGGUUGCAGGUUCAAUCCCUGGCCUCGCUCAAUGGGUUGAGGAUCCGGCAUUUCUGCGAACUGUGGUAUAGGUCACAGAUGAGGCUUGGAUCCAGAGUGGCUGUGUCAUAGGCCCAUAGCUGUAGCUCUGUUUCAACCACUAGCCUAGGAACCUCUAUAUGUGACAGGUGCAGCCCAAACAAAACAAAACAAAACAAAACAAACAACAAAAAAAACACAAAGAAUUAUGAGAAUUCUAAGACUAACUAUUAAGUUAAUAUACUUUAUUAUGUAAGGUGUUGUUAUAGGUCAAAAAAUUAGUACUACUUAAGAUCUUAAAUCUUUAUAUUAUUAUGCUAAUAAGUAAAAAGUUUUAAAUGAAAACUAUUUCAACAUUAGCAAGCAACUUAUG